GAAAUACUCCCUCCGUUCCAAAAUUCUUGUCUUAGAUUUGUCUAAAUACGGAUGUAUCAAGUCAUGUUUUGGUAUUAGAUACAUCCGUAUCUAGACUAAUCUAAGAUAAGAAUUUUGGGACGGAGGGAGUAUAAG
rnacentral:pre_miRNA from 1 species